rnacentral:miRNA from 1 species
GGUCUCACUAUGCAGUUUAGGCUGGCCUUGAAUUCACUUUGUAGCCCAGGCUGGCUUUGAACUCACAAUGAUCCUCCUGCCUCAACCUCCCGAGUGCUGGGAUUACAGCCAUGAGCCACCAUGCCCG